AUUAUUAAAUGGUACUUCACGAAGGGAGUUGAGUUAAUUAAUCAAAUAUAAUAGUACUUAAAUCUGUAUGUUGCAGUAUACAUAUAAUAUGAUUAAUUAGGGGUGAUAGGCCUCACAAAUCUUCCAAUAUCUUGAUUUUUAGGAAAUAUAUUUAGUAUUAACUCAUGUUAGAAGUGUUAAGGCUUCUAACAUAUAUUAAAGAAGAAAAUGAUAGGAGCAAAUUAUUUAACGAUAUUUGUUUUACUUUAAAUAAUAUUUUAUAUUUAAGUUUAUAUUAAGUACUAAACUGUGCCCAAAAUUAUAAUAGGUAUUAUUACUGUUAAUAUUAGUAUUAUAUUAAAACUUUAAAAGGAACUCGGCAAAUCAAUCCUCAACUGUUUAUCAAAAACAUAGCUUAAUGUUACUAUAUUAAGUUAUUUCUGCUCAAUGAAAUAUUAAAUAGCCGCAGUACUCUGACUGUGCAAAGGUAGCAUAAUCAUUUGGCUUAUAAUUGAAGUCUGGCAUGAAUGAAUUAAUGGGGAAUUACUGUCUUUUUGGGUUUUCAAGAACUUACUUAACAAGUGAAAAUACUUGUAAAUAAAUAAUAGACGAGAAGACCCUAGAAAUUUUUUUAAUAUUGGUUUUAUAUCUAAUUAAUUUUGCUGGGGCGGCAGAAUAACAUUAAACUUAUUUUAAUAAAUUUGAACUAUCUACUGAGUAAAAGUAAAUUACUCUAGGGAUAACAGCAUAAUUUUACAAAGUUUGUGACCUCGAUGUUGGACUAGGGACUUUAGUGUUUAGAAGAUACUAAAUCAGGCUCUGUUCGAGCCAUUUUCCCUACAUGAUCUGAGUUCAGACCGGC
rnacentral:rRNA from 1 species